UACGUAGGCAGCGAGCGUUGUUCGGAGUUACUGGGCGUAAAGGGAGCGUAGGCGGUUCGGCAAGUCUUUAGUGAAAUCUCUGGGCUCAACUCAGAGUCUGCUGGAGAAACUGCCGGACUGGAGUAUGGGAGAGGUGAGUGGAAUUCCCGGUGUAGCGGUGAAAUGCGCAGAUAUCAGGAAGAACACCAAUGGCGAAGGCAGCUCUCUGGGACGGUACUGACGCUGAGACGCGAAAGCGUGGGGAGCGAACAGG
rnacentral:rRNA from 1 species